AUUGAACGCUGGCGGCAGGCCUAACACAUGCAAGUCGAACGAGUGGCGGACGGGUGAGUAAUGUCUGGGAAACUGCCUGAUGGAGGGGGAUAACUACUGGAAACGGUAGCUAAUACCGCAUACCAUCGGAUGUGCCCAGAUGGGAUUAGCUGGUUGGUGGGGUAACGGCUCACCUAGGCGACGAUCCCUAGCUGGUCUGAGGGGAUGACCAGGCAAACGGGAACUGAGACAAGGUCCAGACUCCUACGGGAGGCAGCAGUGGGGAAUAUUGCAAAAUGGGAGAAAGCGUGAUGCAGCCAUGCCGCGAGUAUGAAGAAGGCCUUCAGGUUGUAAAGUACUUUCAGCGGGGAGGCGUUACCCGCAGAAGAAGCACCGGCUAACUCCGUGCCAGCAGCCGCGGUAAUAC
rnacentral:rRNA from 1 species